UAAUACGUAGGAGGCGAGCGUUGUCCGGAAUCACUGGGCGUAAAGCGCGUGUAGGCGGGGCGGGAAGUCUGCUGUGAAAGCGCCGGGCUUAACUCGGCGAGGUCGGCGGAAACUCUCGUCCUGGAGGCCGGUAGAGGGGGGUGGAAUUCCCGGUGUAGUGGUGAAAUGCGUAGAGAUCGGGAGGAACACCCGUGGCGCAGGCGGCCCCCUGGGCCGGGCCUGACGCUGAGACGCGAAAGCGUGGGGAGCGAACGGGAUUAGAUACCCCGGUAGUCCACGCAGUAAACGAUGCAGACUAGGUGUGGGGGGUAUCGAGCCCCUCCGUGCCGCAGCUAACGCAGUAAGUCUGCCGCCUGGGGAGUACGGCCGCAAGGUUA
rnacentral:rRNA from 1 species